rnacentral:rRNA from 1 species
UACGUAGGGGGCAAGCGUUAUCCGGAAUUACUGGGUGUAAAGGGUGCGUAGGUGGCAUGGUAAGUCAGAAGUGAAAGCCCGGGGCUUAACCCCGGGACUGCUUUUGAAACUGUCAUGCUGGAGUGCAGGAGAGGUAAGCGGAAUUCCUAGUGUAGCGGUGAAAUGCGUAGAUAUUAGGAGGAACACCAGUGGCGAAGGCGGCUUACUGGACUGUCACUGACACUGAUGCACGAAAGCGUGGGGAGCAAACAGG